rnacentral:rRNA from 1 species
AUUGAACGCUGGCGGCAGGCCUAACACAUGCAAGUCGAGCGGAUGAAGGGAGCUUGCUCCUGGAUUCAGCGGCGGACGGGUGAGUAAUGCCUAGGAAUCUGCCUGGUAGUGGGGAUAACGUCCGGAAACGGGCGCUAAUACCGCAUACGUCCUGAGGGAGAAAGUGGGGGAUCUUCGGACCUCACACUAUCAGAUGAGCCUAGGUCGGAUUAGCUAGUUGGUGGGGUAAAGGCCUACCAAGGCGACGAUCCGUAACUGGUCUGAGAGGAUGAUCAGUCACACUGGAACUGAGACACGGUCCAGACUCCUACGGGAGGCAGCAGUGGGGAAUAUUGGACAAUGGGCGAAAGCCUGAUCCAGCCAUGCCGCGUGUGUGAAGAAGGUCUUCGGAUUGUAAAGCACUUUAAGUUGGGAGGAAGGGCAGUAAGUUAAUACCUUGCUGUUUUGACGUUACCAACAGAAUAAGCACCGGCUAACUUCGUG